AACAGAAAUUAAAUUCCAUAGGUAUAACAGAAAAUAGUGACAAUUUGUGUUAGAAACAUAUGAGGAAAAUCAUUGGAUUGAAGAACCACCUGGCUAUACACUCGUUCCUCUUCAAUAGAAACCUGGAUGAGCGGGGCAGAAUAAACGAACGCCUCAAGAAAGACUGCAGCCUAGCACAGAGAGCAAACAAAACUUCAAGGACCGCAGAUGUAUCAUGGCCAACACGGGCGGCACCAGAUUGAGAUGGGUGUGAAAUAUCAAUGUCUUUGAUGAUGGUAGAUCACAACAAUGAGCCCAGUUGCUCUACAUAAUUUCAUACGGAAAUUUUAUCAACAUUCAAUAAAUCACGAAGAAUUAGUGUUGCUUGUAGUAACCCUGCAAUGGAAAAUAAAAUAAGAACUUUUGGUACAAUUGUGUGGUUCAUAUGUGAUUCCUAGCAGAAUGAAAAGAAAAAAAAUCUCAUGGAUCCUUGUUCUCUGGUAAUACCACCAAACUUCGAUGGUAAUAUCACAAGUAUGAAUAGUUGUUAAAGAUCAAUGUCAAACAAACAACUGAAACAAUAAUGCGUUCAAACGCUUAACCAAUCAACUGAGACUGAAAUUUGUGCUCUUCUAUAAACAUCUGAUAAAUCAUCGGUUCGAUUGUUAGCUAAGGGAGGCAUACAACAGAAAAAUCAUGAAACACUCUCUUGUAAAUGAAAAUUAGUGGAAGAAACAACUACAAUCGGUGGAAAAUAAACAACUAAGAUCGGUGGCAAAAAAAAUACUGAAACAAUAGUACGUUCUGGCACUAAACCAAUCAACUGAUUAAGAACCUUUACUUAUAAAUCACGUGGAGCUUUGCAACAUACUACAGAAUUAGUGGUAGAAAUAAUGCAGAGUUAAGAAGUACAAAGUAGAGGAGCAGCUUGAGGACCUUGGUGUUGGUCGGCCAGCAACCGAGGGACCGAUGAAAGAGUAUGUAGAAGCUGGAGGACAUUGAUGCUAGUUGGCACUCUGUUGGGGAAACGACAGAGAACAAUGUCCGUGUAGGAAAUGAGACUGGGGGAGCGGCUGAUGAAUAGCUUGAACUGCUACACAGUAAGCUUUCGCCCUGUACCAGCCUUGUGGAGCUCGAACUCCUACCUCACCAUGAACUGGUGAACGCCUCUAGUCCGAGGCUUUGCCGUGGAGGCCGAUGUGGCCUCGUCAGAUCUGGACCGUGCGACAAGGGAACCUUACGACCCAUUUUAAAUCACACGGGAGAAGGGUCACCGGACGCCCCAUCAGUUGGAGCAGCUGGUGGCGCCGCUCCUGGAUGGGUGCCGGCUAUGUGCCCUCCCCGUCAGACCUGGACCAUGCGACGGGAGAAGGCGGCGGCCCCAUCUCGAACCACACAAGGAAGGAUCACCGG
rnacentral:lncRNA from 1 species